rnacentral:rRNA from 1 species
GACGAACGCUGGCGGCGUGCUUAACACAUGCAAGUCGAACGGAAAGGCCCUGCUUUUGUGGGGUGCUCGAGUGGCGAACGGGUGAGUAACACGUGAGUAACCUGCCCUUGACUUUGGGAUAACUUCAGGAAACUGGGGCUAAUACCGGAUAGGAGCUCCUGCUGCAUGGUGGGGGUUGGAAAGUUUCGGCGGUUGGGGAUGGACUCGCGGCUUAUCAGCUUGUUGGUGGGGUAGUGGCUUACCAAGGCUUUGACGGGUAGCCGGCCUGAGAGGGUGACCGGCCACAUUGGGACUGCGAGACGGCCCAGACUCCUACGGGAGGCAGCAGUGGGGAGUAUUGCACAAUGGGCGGAAGCCUGAUGCAGCAACGCCGCGUGCGGGAUGACGGCCUUCGGGUUGUAAACCGCUUUCGCCUGUGACGAAGCGUGAGUGACGGUAAUGGGUAAAGAAGCACCGGCUAACUACGUG